rnacentral:rRNA from 1 species
CCUACGGGUGGCAGCAGUGAGGAAUAUUGGUCAAUGGACGCGAGUCUGAACCAGCCAAGUAGCGUGAAGGAUGACUGCCCUAUGGGUUGUAAACUUCUUUUAUCUGGGAAUAAAAUGUUCCACGUGUGGGGUUUUGUAUGUACCAUAUGAAUAAGGAUCGGCUAACUCCGUGCCAGCAGCCGCGGUAAUACGGAGGAUCCGAGCGUUAUCCGGAUUUAUUGGGUUUAAAGGGAGCGUAGGUGGAUUGUUAAGUCAGUUGUGAAAGUUUGGGGCUCAACCGUAAAAUUGCAGUUGAAACUGGCAGUCUGGAGUACAGUAGAGGUGGGCGGAAUUCGUGGUGUAGCGGUGAAAUGCUUAGAUAUCACGAAGAACUCCGAUUGCGAAGGCAGCUCACUGGACUGCAACUGACACUGAGGCUCGAAAGUGUGGGUAUCAAACAGGAUUAGAUACCCCUGUAGUC